ACCAUCGAUAAGUUUACAAGGGCAGGUUGGCACAUCUCCGGAAAGGAGGUGAUGCUAUGGAAGUAAAGGAUGCGUUGAACCUCAUGCUCUCAUCUUGCAUGCUUCUUCUCGCCUUACUUAGCUACUUGAACAAAAAGUAGACCUCCCUUGAGCUUGCCCGGCCGGGGAGGUCUGUCUACUCUCUUAUGCCGACUGCCCUUGUGGCAAUCGAUGGGAAGGCCGUAGAUGGUUCAGCAUCUGCG
rnacentral:sRNA from 1 species